UUUAAAAGUCUCCCCACUCUCUCUUUUUUAAUCUCAUUUUUCUACAUAUCUCACUCGCUCUCCCUCCCUCUCCCUCCGUAAAGCUUUCCACCACCAAUCUACACCGCCACCUCAACCACCAGUGUCCAUUCGCUUCCUAUUAUCCACAUCUUCCAUUUCCACUUUCUUCCCAUUCCUUCCAAGGUAUUUUCUCUAUAUUUCCUUGCUCCAGGUUCUUGAUUCUCGCCGGAGUUCAAAGAAUAUUCAAGAAUUUGAAAGUUUUUAUAGCUUUAUUCUCUUCUACACGUAUCAAUUUAUCCUUACUGUUUCAGGCAAAAAACCAAGAAGAUUAUAAAAACAAGGAGUAUAUUCAAGAGAAUUGUAUUGUAUUAUGGCAUCGUUGAUCUCAAGCCUCGAAUCAAAUUCAGACACGUCGCAAGAGUUCAAGCAGGGGAAGAAGCGAAGAAAACUCUCUCACGAGACGCAGGAUCACAGCCAAAACGACAGUACGAACAACAGAAUCGUCAACAAAACAAGGUGGAAAACUCAAGCAGAGCAGCAGAUCUAUUCCUCCAAGCUUCUCGAAGCUCUCCGCCGAUCUCGCCGUACCAACUCGACUACGCCGGCUGCGAAAGGCCGAGUAAUCAGAGAAACUGCCGACAGAGUCCUCGCCGUCGCAGGAAAAGGCACGACUAGGUGGAGCCGCGCGAUUCUGGCGGGAAGGCUCAGGUUGAGGAGGGUUAAAAAGGUUAGGAAAGUGAAGGUAACAGAAGAGAGCCGGUUGAGUAGGAAGGAGGUGGCGAGAGGGAACAGGAGGUCGCCUGUUUUGGAGGAUAGAGUGCGUGUUUUGAGCCGGUUGGUUCCUGGUUGCAGGAAGGCGUCGUUUACCAGUCUUUUAGAGGAAGCGAGUGAUUAUGUCGCGGCUUUGCAGAUGCAGGUCAAAGCCAUGACGGCUCUCACAGAUAUUCUCGCCGCCGGUGAGGCCGCUACGGUUGAUUCCCAAGCUGGGUGAAUUUGCCGGUGACAACUUGUUAGUUAUGCCAGGUGUUAUUAAAUUUUUUUUAAUUUUAUUUCUUGUAUUUUCUUUUUCUUUUAUAUUAUUUCUUGAUUAUUAAUUCAUGUACUUUAUUGUAUACGUGACUUUCUGGGGGUAUUUUCUUUUCAUUUUAGCGAAUUUUAUUAUUUAUUUAUUUU
rnacentral:misc_RNA from 1 species